GACGAACGCUGGCGGCGUGCUUAACACAUGCAAGUCGAACGGAAAGGCCCUGCUUUUGUGGGUUGCUCGAGUGGCGAACGGGUGAGUAACACGUGAGUAACCUGCCCUUGACUUUGGGAUAACUUCAGGAAACUGGGGCUAAUACCGGAUAGGAGCUCCUGCUGCAUGGUGGGGGUUGGAAAGUUUCGGCGGUUGUGGAUGGACUCGCGGGUUAUCAGCUUGUUGGUGGGGUAGUGACUUACCAAGGCUUUGACGGAUAGCCGGCCUGAGAGCUGGACCGGCCACCUGAGGACUACGAGACGGAGCAGACGCGUAUGGGAGGCAGCAGUGGGGAGUAUUACACAAUGGGCGGACGCCUGAUGCAGAGACGCCGCGUGCGGGAUGACGGCCUUCUGGUUGUAAACCGCUGUCGCCUGUGACGAAGCGAGAGUGACGGUAAUGAGUAAAGAAGCACCGGCUAACUACGUG
rnacentral:rRNA from 1 species